rnacentral:rRNA from 1 species
UACGUAGGGGGCAAGCGUUGUCCGGAUUUAUUGGGCGUAAAGCGCUCGCAGGUGGUUCGUUGCGUCGUGCGUGAAAGACCCCGGCUCAACUGGGGAGUGUCGUGCGAUACGGGCGAACUGGAGGCCAGUAGGGGGAUGCGGAAUUCCGGGUGUAGUGGUGGAAUGCGUAGAGAUCAGGAAGAACACCGGUGGCGAAGGCGCUCUGCUAGGCCGCAACUGACACUGAGGGACGAAAGCUAGGGGAGCGAAUGGG